rnacentral:pre_miRNA from 1 species
AUAAUAUUCAGAGCGUCGGUCUACGGAGCAAUUUCACCCGCUCGGUGGAAGAUCUUUCCUUCGUCGU